GAUGACUCUGGGCUGUGUUAAGUUGACAGCUGAAGCAAUCUGGGACAGAGUUUAGUUACCUGUAUGUGUGCCUGAGUGUGUACGCAUGUGCAGGUGAGUGAAGACACCCACGGAGGCCAAAAGAAGGCAUCAGAUACCCUACAGCUGGACUUAACAAGAGGUUGUGAACUGCUUAACGUGAGUACUAGAAAACUAAUGUGAUUCCUCUGCAAGAAUAGCAAGUACUCUUAACCCCUGAGCCAUCUCUCCAUCCCUGUGAUUUUCUUGUUCUCUGAAGAGAUGUAUAGCUGUAAGCCCAGUUCAGAUCAGACUGCAUCCCCAUUGACGAAAGGAUGCACACUUUGGAAAUAUUUAACAAAUAGAAUAGGGAGCUCAAGAUGUGACACCAGGGUAAAUUACAUGUUUGGCUAUGCACAAGGCUCUAGAUUGGAACCUCAGUUCCACCAAAUAAUAAUAAAAUAUAUUGGCGAGCAGGAAGAUGCCUCAUCUGAUAACAGGCCUGAUGACUGAGUUCGUUCCCUGGGACACACAUAGAACUCCCACUCACCUGCACGUACGCAUGCAGGCACACAUACACCAACUCCCACAUGUUGUCCUAUGAUGCGCACACCUGUGCUCCGGCACAGAAAACUAAAUGUAAUUUAAAAUUAUACCACAAUUAAUAACAAAUUACACAGUCCAGAGAACCUCUUCGAGGUCCUGUUUUACAAAUGCUAGGGUUAUUUGUAGUGUCUAUUUGUGCUGGUACACACAGCAUAAGCAUAUGGCGUAUAUGGAGGUCAGAUGACAGCUUGCAGAAGUCACCUCAGCUCCCUCCUUCUACCAUGUAGGUCCCAAGGAUCAAAAAUCAGCUUGUCAGACUUAGUCCCAAACACCUAAAAGGACCUCUGAAGGGAUGCGGGCUUGGAGUGAACAUGGAACCAGACUUGGUGGCAUGUCCCUUUAAUUCCAGCCCAGAGAAAGCUGAGGCAGAGGAUCAUGAGUUUCAAGCCAGGUUAGACUACACAGUGAAACUUUGUCUCAAAACAAAGAACAGUAAAAGAUGGCUCCAGCUGAACAUGGUGAUACACACCUGUAAUCCCUCCAGCCUUGCUGACAGAAACCGGAGGGUCUGAAGUCACAGGCCAGACUCUGUUACAUACCUGUCUC
ensembl:lincRNA Gm42626 predicted gene 42626